rnacentral:rRNA from 1 species
CAAGUCGAACGUGAGAGAAGGAGCUUGCUUCUUCGAUCGAGUGGCGAACGGGUGAGUAACGCGUGAGGAACCUGCCUCAAAGAGGGGGACAACAGUUGGAAACGACUGCUAAUACCGCAUAAGCCCACGGGUCGGCAUCGACCUGAGGGAAAAGGAGCAAUCCGCUUUGAGAUGGCCUCGCGUCCGAUUAGCUAGUUGGUGAGGUAAUGGCCCACCAAGGCGACGAUCGGUAGCCGGACUGAGAGGUUGAACGGCCACAUUGGGACUGAGACACGGCCCAGACUCCUACGGGAGGCAGCAGUGGGGAAUAUUGCACAAUGGGGGAAACCCUGGUGCAGCGACGCCGCGUGGAGGAAGAAGGUCUUCGGAUUGUAAACUCCUGUUGUUGAGGAAGAUAAUGACGGUACUCAACAAGGAAGUGACGGCUAACUACGUGCCAGCAGCCGCGGUAAAACGUAGGUCACAAGCGUUGUCCGGAAUUACUGGGUGUAAAGGGAGCGCAGGCGGGAAGACAAGUUGGAAGUGAAAUCUAUGGGCUCAACCCAUAAACUGCUUUCAAAACUGUUUUUCUUGAGUAGUGCAGAGGUAGGCGGAAUUCCCGGUGUAGCGGUGGAAUGCGUAGAUAUCGGGAGGAACACCAGUGGCGAAGGCGGCCUACUGGGCACCAACUGACGCUGAGGCUCGAAAGUGUGGGUAGCAAACAGGAUUAGAUACCCUGGUAGUCCACACCGUAAACGAUGAUUACUAGGUGUUGGAGGAUUGACCCCUUCAGUGCCGCAGUUAACACAAUAAGUAAUCCACCUGGGGAGUACGACCGCAAGGUUGAAACUCAAAGGAAUUGACGGGGGCCCGCACAAGCAGUGGAGUAUGUGGUUUAAUUCGACGCAACGCGAAGAACCUUACCAAGUCUUGACAUCCCUUGACGAACAUAGAAAUAUGUUUUCUCUUCGGAGCAAGGAGACAGGUGGUGCAUGGUUGUCGUCAGCUCGUGUCGUGAGAUGUUGGGUUAAGUCCCGCAACGAGCGCAACCCUUAUGGUCAGUUACUACGCAAGAGGACUCUGGCCAGACUGUCGUUGACAAAACGGAGGAAGGUGGGGAUGACGUCAAAUCAUCAUGCCCUUUAUGACUUGGGCUACACACGUACUACAAUGGCGUUAAACAAAGAGAAGCAAGACCGCGAGGUGGAGCAAAACUCAGAAACAACGUCCCAGUUCGGACUGCAGGCUGCAACUCGCCUGCACGAAGUCGGAAUUGCUAGUAAUCGUGGAUCAGCAUGCCACGGUGAAUACGUUCCCGGGCCUUGUACACACCGGCCG